rnacentral:rRNA from 1 species
CAGUCGCCGCGGGAAUACGAAGGGUGCAAGCGUUAAUCGGAAUUACUGGGCGUAAAGCGCACGUAGGCGGCUUGGUAAGUUAGAGGUGAAAGCCUGGAGCUCAACUCCAGAAUUGCCUUUAAGACUGCCGAGCUAGCAGGUGAGAGAGGUAAGUGGAAUUCCGAGUGUAGAGGUGAAAUUCGUAGAUAUUCGGAAGAACACCAGUGGCGAAGGCGGCUUACUGGCUCAUACUGGACGCUGAGGUGCGAAAGCGUGGGGAGCAAACAGGAUUAGAUACCCGCGUAGUCCCUGUCUCUUAUAC